UCCGUAGGUGAACCUGCGGAAGGAUCAUUAUUGAAUAAACUUGAUAGGUUGUCGCUGGCUUCUAGGAGCAUGUGCACGCCUGUCAUCUUUAUCAAUCCACCUGUGCACCUUCUGUAGUUUUGGAAGGAAUGAGCGUGAAAAUUGUCGAGGAAAUCUAUCCUCGGGGAAUGGGGUCUGCCACGCGAAAGUGUGGCUGACCUUGAUCAUCGCGCGAGUUUCUCCAAUUCUAUGUCUUCAUAUACCACGUAGAAAGUCUUAGAAUGUUUUCAUUAGGUCUUAGUGCCUAUAAAACAAUAUACAACUUUCAGCAACGGAUCUCUUGGCUCUCGCAUCGAUGAAGAACGCAGCGAAAUGCGAUAAGUAAUGUGAAUUGCAGAAUUCAGUGAAUCAUCGAAUCUUUGAACGCACCUUGCGCUCCUUGGUAUUCCGAGGAGCAUGCCUGUUUGAGUGUCAUUUAAUUCUCAACCCCUCCAGCUUUUUUGGCUGGUUAGGUGGCUUGGAUGUGGGGUCUGCGGGCCUCUUCAGAGGUCGGCUACUCUGAAAUGCAUUAGCGGGACCGUUUGCGGUACUGUCACUGGUGUGAUAAUUAUCUACGCCAACCGACGUCUGCUCUCUGGUAGUUCUGCUUCAAACUGUCCUUUCACUUGGACAACAAAUAUCUGAAUGCUUGACCCCAAAUCAGGUAGGACUACCCGCUGAACUUAAGCAUAUCAAUAAGCGGAGGA
rnacentral:rRNA from 1 species